CAAUUUCUUAACUAUGUAAAAAGAAUAUUAUGUUGUUGUACAACCCCAAUUUGCCCGGGCCCACUACCUAAAAUUUUAGGCCCAAAACCCUAGCCCAAAUGCCAAACCCAAAAUAGGCCCAACCCUAAAUCUAACCCUAGCAGCCCACUAAGCCCAAAACAUUUCAAAAAAAAUGAAAACCUAGCCGCCUCUUCUGACCCCUCUGCUACCGCCGCUGUCGUCACAUCAUCAGCGCAAGUGGUCCACCUGCCCUCUACCACCGCUGCACCUGCUCCACCUGCAAGAGAAAGAAGAACACACAAG
rnacentral:lncRNA from 1 species